GACGAACGCUGGCGGCGUGCUUAACACAUGCAAGUCGAACGGAAAGGCCCUGCUUUUGUGGGGUGCUCGAGUGGCGAACGGGUGAGUAACACGUGAGUAACCUGCCCUUGACUUUGGGAUAACUUCAGGAAACUGGGGCUAAUACCGGAUAGGAGCUCCUGCUGCAUGGUGGGGGUUGGAAAGUUUCGGCGGUUGGGGAUGGACUCGCGGCUUAUCAGCUUGUUGGUGGGGUAGUGGCUUACCAAGGCUUUGACGGGUAGCCGGCCUGAGAGGGUGACCGGCCACAUUGGGACUGAGGUACGGCCCAGACUCCUACGGGAGGCAGCAGGGGGGAAUAUUGCACAAUGGGCGGAAGCCUGAUGCAGCAACGCCGCGUGCGGGAUGACGGCCUUCGGGUUGUAAACCGCUUUCUCCUUUGACGAAGCGUUAGUGACGGUAAUUGGUAAAGAAGCACCGGCUAACUACGUG
rnacentral:rRNA from 1 species